rnacentral:rRNA from 1 species
UACGGAGGGUGCAAGCGUUACCCGGAAUUAUUGGGCGUAAAGCGUCCGCAGGCGGUUUAUUAAGUUAAGUAUUAAAUCUUGAAGCCCAACUUCAAGGCUGUGCUUAAAACUGGUGAACUAGAGACUUUCAGAGGUACGUGGAAUUCUGUGUGUAGGGGUAAAAUCCGUAGAUACACAGAAGAACACCAAAAGCGAAGGCAGCGUACUGGGGAAGUUCUGACGCUCAUGGACGAAAGCGUGGGGAGCGAACGGG